rnacentral:rRNA from 1 species
ACGCUGGCGGCGUGCCUAAUACAUGCAAGUUGAGCGCUGAAGGUUGGUACUUGUACCAACUGGAUGAGCAGCGAACGGGUGAGUAACGCGUGGGGAAUCUGCCUUUGAGCGGGGGACAACAUUUGGAAACGAAUGCUAAUACCGCAUAAAAACUUUAAACACAAGUUUUAAGUUUGAAAGAUGCAAUUGCAUCACUCAAAGAUGAUCCCGCGUUGUAUUAGCUAGUUGGUGAGGUAAAGGCUCACCAAGGCGAUGAUACAUAGCCGACCUGAGAGGGUGAUCGGCCACAUUGGGACUGAGACACGGCCCAAACUCCUACCGGAGGCAGCAGUAGGGAAUCUUCGGCAAUGGACGAAAGUCUGACCGAGCAACGCCGCGUGAGUGAAGAAGGUUUUCGGAUCGUAAAACUCUGUUGGUAGAGAAGAACGUUGGUGAGAGUGGAAAGCUCAUCAAGUGACGGUAACUACCCAGAAAGGGACGGCUAACUACGUGCCAGCAGCCGCGGUAAUACGUAGGUCCCGAGCGUUGUCCGGAUUUAUUGGGCGUAAAGCGAGCGCAGGUGGUUUAUUAAGUCUGGUGUAAAAGGCAGUGGCUCAACCAUUGUAUGCAUUGGAAACUGGUAGACUUGAGUGCAGGAGAGGAGAGUGGAAUUCCAUGUGUAGCGGUGAAAUGCGUAGAUAUAUGGAGGAACACCGGUGGCGAAAGCGGCUCUCUGGCCUGUAACUGACACUGAGGCUCGAAAGCGUGGGGAGCAAACAGGAUUAGAUACCCUGGUAGUCCACGCCGUAAACGAUGAGUGCUAGAUGUAGGGAGCUAUAAGUUCUCUGUAUCGCAGCUAACGCAAUAAGCACUCCGCCUGGGGAGUACGACCGCAAGGUUGAAACUCAAAGGAAUUGACGGGGGCCCGCACAAGCGGUGGAGCAUGUGGUUUAAUUUCGAAGCAACGCGAAGAACCUUACCAGGUCUUGACAUACUCGUGCUAUUCCUAGAGAUAGGAAGUUCCUUCGGGACACGGGAUACAGGUGGUGCAUGGUUGUCGUCAGCUCGUGUCGUGAGAUGUUGGGUUAAGUCCCGCAACGAGCGCAACCCCUAUUGUUAGUUGCCAUCAUAAAGUGGGGCACUCUAACGAGACUGCCGGUGAUAAACCGGAGGAAGGUGGGGAUGACGUCAAAUCAUCAUGCCCCUUAUGACCUGGGCUACACACGUGCUACAAUGGAUGGUACAACGAGUCGCGAGACAGUGAUGUUUAGCUAAUCUCUUAAAACCAUUCUCAGUUCGGAUUGUAGGCUGCAACUCGCCUACAUGAAGUCGGAAUCGCUAGUAAUCGCGGAUCAGCACGCCGCGGUGAAUACGUUCCCGGGCCUUGUACACACCGCCCGUCACACCACGGGAGUUGGGAGUACCCGAAGUAGGUUGCCUAACCGCAAGGAGGGCGCUUCCUAAGGUAAGACCGAUGACUGGGGUGAAGUCGUAACAAGG